rnacentral:tRNA from 1 species
AUCUUUCUUAGAAAACAGAAUACGGCGGGCCUUUCGAGCCCGUGACCCGGGUUCAAAUCCCGGCCGCGGCA